CACUAAGAAGCUAAUAGGGACAAGCAUCAGCCUUUUAAGCUGAAAAUUGGUGAUUCCCAACCACCCUUAGUGA
rnacentral:tRNA from 1 species